ensembl:lncRNA
GCGCUGGACUACAGCUCCCGGCAUGCCGCGCGGCGCGCUCCUCUCUCUGCUUUCCGGGUAGCAAAGGCGGUUUUCUGUUGUCGUCUGCCUUCUUUCGUCUCGAAGGUGCGACGCGCAGCUCGCACGGAGGUUUUCGGGAAUGAGCCGUAUCAGCGUAACGCGGGUUGAUGGCGUUGCUUUGUAGACGUCACAGAAUCGCAGAAGUGUAGGGGUCGGAAGGGACCGCUGGAGAUGAUGGAGUCGCACCCGCCGCUCCAGCAGGUUCCUUUCUGUGGCCCUCCUCCGGACACACACCAGGAAGUCCGUGUCUCUCCUGUGCUGAGGACUGGAUAUGGAGAUGAUCCCUGUCUUUUUUGAACUGAGAAGCCCAGAACUGGACACAGUAUUUCAGAUGAGGCCUCCCCAGGGCAGAGCAGGGUGGGGGGAGAACCUCCCUGGACCUGCUGGCUCUCCUCUUGUAAUGUACUCCUGGAUGCCUUUAGCCUUCUUGGCCACGAAGGCACACUGCUGACUCAUGGGCAACUUGUUGGCCACGAGGAUAUCCAGGUCCUUCUCCACAAAGAUCUUUUUCAGCAGCCCAGCCCCUAAUGUGUGCUGAUGCAUGCAGGUAUUCCUCCCCAGGUGCAGAAUCCUACACUUGCCCUUGUUGAACCUCCUAAUGUUCCUCUCUGCCCGACUCUGCUCCGUGCAGCUCUCACCAAAGGGCAGCACAGCCUUCUGGUGUGUCAGUCACUCCUCCCAGCUUUGUAUCAUCAGCAAACUUGCUGAGAGUGGACACUGUCCCUUCAUCCAGAUCACUAACUGUCACGGAGUUAUCUGAGUCCGUGACAAGGGGGGCACAGUAACUCACUAAAUCCAAUGAAAUCAAGCCAAAUGAGAGAGAAGAGUACCCGAAGUGAGAGGGAAGCACGUGCCCUUCUCCACAGCAAGCUGAGCCAGCCCAACGGAGGGAGAGACGGCCGCGGUCCCGGAGCUCUGCCACACUGCCUCUCCACACCAAGUCCUCCAGGGAUGCUGCCCCUCCCCUCCCAUCAGAACACCCAAAAUGCCAAUAAGAGGCAGUAAGCGGAACCAGAACGUUAACUCUUUAACUUCCACUGGUUCAUGUGAUGUCCUGAUGUGGAAUACUGACACCAAAAAUCACCAAACUGCAGCAUUAAUGAAGAUGCUGAACAAGACUGGAUGCAGUACCAACCCCUGAGGAGCACCACUCGCUGUAGACCUCCAACUCUAUAGACCUCUUCACCACUGAUGAGAACACUCUGAGCUCUAUCCACCUCCGUUCCCAGUUUACCUCACUCAUCUUUCCCACACUUCUAAGCUUACCUAUGAGGAAGUUAUGGAAAACAGUGUCAAAAGCUUUGUUGAAGUCAAGGUGUAUGACAUCCACUGCUCUCCCCCCAUCUACUCAGUCGGUGAUGACAGCAUAGAAGACUGCCAGGCCGCGUGCUGUACAAGAGGCGCUGCCACCUCCUGGCUGAGCUCUUCAGGCAGAAGCGCAGAGCACGUAUCACCUGCCAUCCCCCUGCUAGCUCAGGAGAUGCAGUUUGGAUUCAGUCGAUGCACCCUGGAUUCCUCUUGGUAGCUUGCAGAGGUUAGCUGAUCCCUGUACGGAAGAUGCGUGGUUCCUUCAGUUUGGUCGCUCUGUUCUGUCAACUUCUUCCUACAUACGAGUGUGAAAGGAGGUGGGCAGGAUCACUUCCAGGCUGGGGCUCCCGUUUAAUCUCUGCACUUACUUACAGAAGUCAUUUUGUUAAUAACUUCAGAGCAUGCAGAUGCGGAUAGGACACUGGAUGUCUUUACAGUAGCACCCAGAAUUCUGAGAGAGGUAUUUCGCCCUCUGGUGGCCAUAUAUAUGACUUCCAGUGUCAAAAAGGUGACUUGAAGGGAUCUGUGCUGACUUACAGAGAUAGCCUCGUUUCUGGGCAUUUUGGGGUUUCCACUCACCCCAAGGCUUAGCAGAGGAAAGGGGGCGAGGGAAGUUCAUAUAGUCUGUCCCUAGCGAGUCUCCUUUGCUGCUGAGGACAGACUGGACCUGUGUGAGAGAUGGUGUUACUGUUGUUCUCCUUGGUGCCUAAAUUCUUGGGAUUCAAGAUCUCUAGUUAAAGGUAUGAAAGAAAGCACAGGGACUUGAGUCCCAGCGUUACACCAGAAAGAGUUUUGAAGUUUUACAAAGGUAAAUAAUGCUGGUGCGAUGAUUAUGUUAUUGCGAGGAGUGAGAAAACUGAGCUUCUUACCACCUUUUAUUCAAUCUAAAUGCACUACUUUAUUCCCUUUUUAUCCAGUAAAAUACCUGAAAAUAGUCUUACUUGGAACACAAAUAAGAAACUGCUGGCGAUUACAGAUACUGUUGUGGAAUGGCUGGCAGGGCUUGGUGCACAAUAACCUUCAAUUAAAGUAAUUGAAAAUGCCCUGCGUGCAUUCUGUGAUAGAAGGCAGUAAAAAAGAUGGCAGAGGUGUCAAAGCUCUCUCGCAAUGGGUACAUUUUAAAAUCAGACUCUUUAUUUUUAAACUUUUGCAUUUAUUUUGAGUUCUUUAGAUCUCCAUACAGCCAAACUUAAACCUGUGUCACUGCCUUUACCUGGUCCUUCUGGAGCAAAGCCUCCUAUUUCAUUCAGUUUGUUUCUAAGGUUGGAAAGAGGACUGGGCUUCAGCUGAGAAACAGGGCCGAGGGGCUCCUCAGGCAUGCCGGUACAGGGCCAAGCUGCGGUUGUGCUUCACAUUCCAAUCCUCAUCCCCCCACCCCCCUCCCUUUCACCCCUUCUAGUUUUCGAUUAGACACACUUGAUUUGCUCCUUCUCUGAACUCUUGCCACGACAGUCUAAAAUUAAUGCUAACGUGGUAGGAAAAGUUACUCUUUUGGAAGACUUGUGGGAAGGAAACGCUGUUCUGGGUUCAGAGUAUUUCUAAGCAGACCUCAGACUUCAUUGACCCAGAACUUGAGGUUGGUAAGGCUGCAAAGUAUUUCAGAAACACUGAUUCUAACAGAGGGGAGCAAAUCGUAUGAAACUCUGUAACGGACUUGGAAUGCAUAGAGGAAAUUGUUUUCCAUUGAAAAGCAGUAAGAAACCUAGGUUCCUUUUCUUGCCUGCCACCAUGGGGGCUUUAAUGGGGCUGCAGGAAGCCCCCCAGCUCCUGUGGUCAUUUUUGAGGAGGGGUAGUCAUUCCUCAGGGUGCGUUGCAGGUGCACAGCACAGGGGCGGUUCUGUCAUACACGGGGGUCGGUCCCACAGGGGGGGCACCACAGGGGCGCAGAAUGGCAGCGUGCUCCUCCUCUACGGACACGGAGCAGCGCCAGGCAUGUGGGCAGGCCCAGCACGUGUGGCUCUGCCUGAGAAAACAUGGUAGGGGGUAGGGCAGCCCUACAUCACUGUCACCCCCUGGUGUCCCAGUCACCCCCUGUGGCCCCAUUCCUCUGCCUGUGGCCUUACUGACCCCCCACAUAAAUCCCAGGACUCUCAUAGCACCCCUACAGACUCCCUCUAUAGCUCCCACAUCUGCUUAUAGGACGCUCGCAGCCGCCCUCCCAAGACCCUUCGAGCACCCCACAGCACCCCAGAGAUCCCAUGAGCACCUACAGCAACCCACAGACCCCAGGACCUCUGCAGCAUUUCACAGCCUACCCAAAGCUCCCAGGACUGUCUAUAGAAGCUCUACAGCUCCUAGGAUUACUUACAGACACCUGUAGCCCCCUGUAGUGGAACUACUGAACAUGAGCACGUGACUGCCUGGAGUUGGGGGGGGGAGGGGGGCUGGAGCCACUCUUUCUGUCCCAACUGAUGCUUCUGGGAGCACUGUGUGCACACUUCUGUGUGCAAUCUGAGCCUGCGCGGGUGCCCCUUCUGCCAGCCCUUCUCCUGCAGUGCCGGUACGGACAGAAGGCUGCGUCCCUCAGCUCACGACUUUCUCCAAGCUGUCAGAGGGAGGGAAGAGUUAAUUUCCAAAGGGAAACAUCUUUGGAAAUAUCAAAGGGAUAUCUUUUCCUAUAGCGCCCAUUUCUCACAUACAGGCCCUGUCAUCGCCUCUGUUUGCUCUACACCCCCUUAGAGCUCCAAGGACUCCUGUAGCAACACCAUCCCCCACAGACCCUAUGGACCCCAGAGUUCCCUAUGCCCACUUAUGCACCCCUAUAUGUCCCACAGCCCCCCUACAGCUUCAAUAGCCCGUCUAUAGUUCUAUACAGCCCUCCACAGCCCCCCAGAGGCUCCCCACAAAAUCCACGAGGCCCCCUUAUCAUCCCAACAGCACCCCGACAGCUCCCAGGACCCCACGGCGCCCCCCCAGCAGCCCAAAUCCUAUCGGCUCCACAGCCCUCCGGGGUACCCCCGAG